AGCGGUGCUCAUACUAAUGGUGGAUAUACCUGUUCCCAUCCCGAACACAGAAGUCAAGUAUCAUUAGGCCGAAGGUAGCAAAAGCAAGAAUAGGUUGUGCCGAUG
rnacentral:rRNA from 1 species